GAUGAACGCUGACAGAAUGCUUAACACAUGCAAGUCUACUUGAAUUUGGGUCCUAGACUUAGAUUUGGGUGGCGGACGGGUGAGUAACGCGUAAAGAACUUGCCUCACAGUUAGGGACAACAUUUGGAAACGAAUGCUAAUACCUGAUAUUAUGAUUAUACGGCAUCGUAUAAUUAUGAAAGCUAUAUGCGCUGUGAGAGAGCUUUGCGUCCCAUUAGCUAGUUGGAGAGGUAACGGCUCACCAAGGCGAUGAUGGGUAGCCGGCCUGAGAGGGUGAACGGCCACAAGGGGACUGAGACACGGCCCUUACUCCUACGGGAGGCAGCAGUGGGGAAUAUUGGACAAUGGACCAAGAGUCUGAUCCAGCAAUUCUGUGUGCACGAUGACGUUUUUCGGAAUGUAAAGUGCUUUCAGUUGGGAAGAAAAAAAUGACGGUACCAACAGAAGAAG
rnacentral:rRNA from 1 species